rnacentral:rRNA from 1 species
GUGUUUUUUAUCAAGGGCGUACGGUGGAUGCCUUGGCAUGCUGAGCCGAUGAAGGACGUGUGAGGCUGCGUUAUGCCUCGGGGAGUUGC